CGCACCCCCACCCUCUCUGCAGCCCUCCCUCCCACUGUCACACAUUCCAGCACACCCGCCCCCCACAGCGCUCCCCCACCCCACCUUCUUCUCCCCCAACACCCUCGGCCUCGCACACAACACUGGCUGGCUCUUGUGUGCUUGCUCUCUCUGCUGCCCGGUCCUCCCCCACUUCCCAGCGCCUCCUCUGCCUGGGGAGGCGUCUCCCCCCACUUUGCCCCAGGCCUUUCAUUCCUGGACAGUGAGGCUGUACAUCUGGUUCAAAGCUGCCCCACCCAAGACCCUGUGCUCUGGGCACCCUGGCCUGGGCUUUGGGGGUUUGGGGCCUCUUUGGGGGCUCUUGGCACCUGGUCAUCCUGGUCUCUCAGCCAAGAACUCUGAGUGCCCAGCCCUGCCCUGGCUCUGGCGCAUCUGGGGAGGGGGCUGGGCAGGGGGAUUUACCCCCAGCCUGAGCUUUCUCAGGGGCUUGCCAGAUCCUCCUCCUCCUCCUCCUCUUUCUCCUCAGCUCACCUGAGGGGGACAUUGGACCUGGGGCUUCAGGGAGAAAGAUGAGGAAGGUGCUGGCUUGACAUGCUCCCCCCCCACCAUCCGGGCUUGGGGCUUGGUCUCCCUGGGAGUCAGUUCCGACAGUGAAGGUUACUUUACUAGAUGCAUGAUUUUAAACGGAAUCUCCACCAUCUGUUCCACCCCCUAAUUACAGAUGCACAGAAUCCGCCUCAGAGGGCAGCAUGAGGGGAGUGAUUUAGAGGCUGAGCGGCUUCUGCCUGCAUUAGGGCUGGGGAGACUGGGGGGGCCUCUGGGUAUUGCUCACAGCCCCCCAAUCCCAUCUCUUUCCCAGGCCCCCCCCCGUGCCCCUUCUCUUGCUGGAGGAAGGCUCAUAGAAAGGUCCCCCUGACCCCCGAGGCCUGAAAGAGGAAGCAACUGCAAUGAUGAGGGACGGGUUGCUGAGACACUGCCUGUGUCCCAGGCCCCAGGUCUUGGGAUGCAGGCUCCAUUAGAGCCUUAAAAAAUUCAGUGGAUCGAUCUCCUGCCUGCCUCUUGUGCUCUGGGGAGCCACAGGCACUGGCCUGGCCCAGCUGUCUGCCCACCCCAGGGGUAGCAAGGACUGGGGAGGGAGGGGAGGGGCGGUUGGAGCAGAGGUGGGAGCCUUCAGGUUUUGGCAGCAGAGGACGUGGGCAGAGCGCGCGCCAAGCUGCACCAGGUGUGUUUGCACGUAUGCGCCCAUCCGCCUUGGCGCUGCUGGCAAGCCUGACCCCAGCUGGGGCCGUGCUCUGUGGGGCUGGACCAGCACCAGGGGCAGAGGGGAUGGGCCAGGACCCAUCCCUUGGAGGGUUCUGAGGGACACUGGGCUACACCCGAGGAUGGGUCCGCCUUUCCCCGUGUUGCCAGGGCCCCGGGCCCCAGCCUGCUCCAGCAGCCGCGGGCACACUGCGGUAGAAGCUGGAGCAGUCACUGUGGGGAGAAAGGGAGCGAGGCUGGGCUGGAGGAAUUUUAAAGAUUGCUGCAGGCAGGAGGGUCUCGGGAACCCUGUGGAGCGGGCAGUCAUGCAGAAGUAAUCCUAUCGCCGCUGCCGCCUGCCUGGAGGAGUGAGGGGAGAGGGGGCCGGGAGGGGAGGGAGGGCUGCAGCCCCGUUCCCACCUCAGCUCCGGCCCCAGCCAGCUGUGGAGGCAAUCGGGACCCCGGCGGGCUCCCCUGAGGUGGCACCACCAUUCCACUGUGGCAUGUGCCCCCUGGAGGGGCAGCGCCGCAGCUGUCGCCCAGCUCUCAGCUCUGGUUUUUAUAAAUAAUGCAGCUUGGAGGUGGGGGCCAACUCAGCCCCCGGUCACCUUGGGUCACCCAGUGUGGCAUCUGCAGCUGGCAGUCCUGUGGCAGAGCCCCUCUCCCUUCCAGCCUGCUCCUCUUCUUUGGCUGUGUGAGCUUGGGCCGGAGCCCCAGCCUCUCUGAGCUGGGCCAGGGGCAAAGGAGUGUGGAAGAAUCCAGAACCCCUGGUCCUUUUGUACCCCCCACCCCCAGCCUUCCCAGGUUAACCGGCCGCUGGCUCAGCAAAUCUGGGCUGGGAAGGGGUGGCCUGCUCUCCAGGGGCCUCCGCAUUCCAGCCCCUCCAUUUUGCAGAUGGAGCAACCGAGUCCGGAGAGGGUGGGAUGGCCAAGGCCAGCGAGCUGAUGAGCACCUCCUUCCUGCCCCACUCUGCUGUCACUCAAGGCUCUUCUCAGCCUCAGCUCAGCUAAGAGCAGGGCCUGGGGGGGCGCGGGGGAUGUUUGGGAAAGUGGUUGCGGCUGAGAGGUUGCCAUGGCAAUGCUGCAGGAUGCUGAGCUGAAGUGGGGGUCCUACAGGGUCUCUGGGGCCCCCAGCUCCACACCCCUGUGGUCUUCUCCUCCCCAUCGCCUGUCCCCCACCCAGAUGCCUGUCACACAGCUCCGGUGACAGGCUGGGUGGGUGACAGGUGGUGCAGGUGAUGGGCUGGGUGGGUGACGAGCUGGGUGGGUGACAGGUGGUGCGGGUGCGAGGCAGGCAGGUGACAAGCUGGGUGGUGACGGGCCCUGCUGAUGACAGGCAGGGGGUGUGGUUGGCGAGGAUGCUGUCUCCUGGCUGGUGGCCUGUUGCAGCCCCCCACCCUCAUGCAUGUGCACAUGCACAGACUCUGGGCCCAGAGCUUGGGGCUAAGAUACUAAUGAGGCUUGUUACGUGUGGAGGGGCAGGUGCCCGGGCUCACUAAUGAGAGGCCUUUAACGAAUCGGGGAGACAGCUGGGGGGCUUCCAGGAAUUUGGCUGGCCCUCCUGGGCUGGAGGAUGAGCCAGGUCGGGACCCUUCCUCCCCUUCCCCCACCCCGGUCACUUGGCUUUGUGUUAAUACUGCCCACGGUCAGGCUGGCUACCAUUGCCAGAGCGCUGGCUGCACUGGCCCAGCCCUUUACAUGCAUUUUUUCAUUUCGAUUCAACAGUGUAGGAGGGAGGCACUGUUGCCCAUUUUACAGAUGAGAAAUCUGAGGCCGAGAAGACAAGGGAAUUCACAUAGUAAGUUUCCGCUGCAAGUGGUAUUUUAAUCCAGGUCUUACUGUCUCCAGAGCCUGUGCUCUUCACCACCUACCAGUAAAACUCAGGCCUUGGUGCAGACCCAGCCCUCUCAGGGUCUCAGUUUCACUCUUCGGGAAAAUGGAUGCGUGGUAGAGGGGUAAUCACCAUAGGCUCUUCAGCUCUGACUUGGGUGGCUUCAGGGACUCCUCCAGGUAACUGCCGAGGCCUCACUCCAUCUGGUCCAGACUUUAGGUGACACCUUUGCACUGGAGAGAGGACAGGGCUUAGCGCUGAGGGCGCAUAGCUGAAAGGGGGGGGUAUCUGGGAUGUCUGAACCACUGCCUCCAUUGUGAGGUGGGGAGGCUGAGGCCUGGAGAGGAGCAGCCACUGCCCAAGGUCACAUGCCCUGGGCGCUGUAAGGCCCCGUGGGAUCCCAGGUCUCCUGGCCUGUUGGAAGGGUGGGGCUAGGUGUGGUGCCAGGGCUGGGAGGUCACCUCUUCUUGGGCUCCACCCACCAGCCUGGCUUCUUUCCUGGUGGUUGCAAGCCCCUACCUCCUGGGAGGGGGCGGGGGCGGGGGCCGGGGAGGCUGUUGAAUGCCUCCGUAGGGCCUUGCCCCUUCCCCAUCAAUCUAGGCCCCUAGUGUCUGUUGACCCCCCUCCUUUGGAGAUCUGUUGGGGUAGAAACUUUCCCUGGCAACAGCUGAUGGAUGGAUUAGGGCCUUGACAUUGGCCCAGGGCCACAGCCUGACCCUGGAGGGACCAGACUAGGGCUGGGGGGGCUUGGAGGGGAAUUUAAGGGAGAAGAAUUAAGCUCAUAAAUCUUGGAGCAUCUCAGUUCUCUUCUCCUUGACCUUAAUCUCUUACCAAACCUGCUCUCCAGCUGCACAUCCAAGGCUGGGGUUUGAGGGAGUCCACUUACCCAUUCCCCUCUCCCACCCACUGAUGCUCCUGCUCCUGGAAUUGCACCCCCUAUGGGGAAGGAAGUACAAGUUGCAGCCACUCUGUCGGGCAGAAUUAAGAACUUGUGUGUCCAGACGUUUGGAUUUGGCCUCUGAUUCAUAAUGGUAGGUAGGGCAGAGAGCUUCACUGCCUCAGUUUCCCUGGCCUUAGCUUUGAAAUUCUCUCCUGGUGCCUGACUGCUCAGGCAGGAAGGAGUGCUGAGACCAAGAGGGAUUUCACAGCUGUGGGACACGUGGUGCUGUCCUCAGAAGCCCCAUUCUGAGAUAAGAGGCACAGCUCUGGCCUUGGGAGCCCUCAGACCCAGAGGUGAGAUCUUGAACCCAGGCUGGGCAUGUGCUGAGGUUCAGGCAGGGAGCGGGCAGCUGGAGCCUGAGUUCUGGGACCCUCCUAGCUCCCCAGGGAACCCGCUGCUGCCUGGCCCUGGAGACCCAGGCGUCCUGGCGGGUGAGGGCGGGUCUCCGGCAGGCGCCCUGCCAAGCCCCGCAGCCUGCUCACCAGGAAUCUUGUUGCUGAGAGAUGGAAAAUCCCGGCCGGGCCUGCAGCUCAUCCCUCCCCUCCGGGAGGAGGAGGGGCCCAAAGAUUCCUUCCUGCACCCCCCUCGCAUCUGGGGCAGGGCCCUCCUCAGCAGUGGGUGGGGCUGGGGGGCCCAGGACAGGCCUCUAAGCCUCGGUCACAUGUCCUGGAGCUUAGCCCAGCCUGCAGUGGGCACCAGGGCACUCUGGAGGCAGAAUGGGCCUGGUGUGGCAGAGGAGAGGUGGGGGUGGGUGCUGAGGCCAGAAGGGGGCCUGGAUGGGGGCCUAGGCCUGGCCCUGGCCCCACUGGCUCCCCCAGGGCGGAGGGUGAAGAGUUGGUUCUCUCCUUGGACAGGAAGACGAAUGAUCCCAUUAUGGGAGCGUGAUUUUAUUCCACGUGUCACGGAGUCUGAGAUUAACUUGCUCACCAGUCUGUGACAAACCCCUACACUCUCACACCCAACACACAUGCACACACACACACAGGCACAGAGACACACAUAUAUCCUUGGUCUCACAAAUGCAAACCCCACAGGCACACAUAAGCAUUUCCUUACUACAGCAUCCCAUACAGGUACACAAGCGCACAUUCACACUUAGAUACACCAAGAUCUAGACCCACAGCCUCAAACGCACAACAUUCUCUCACUCCCACUAAGGCCACACAGACCCAGAGAUACAAAUGGGCCAUCCAGGGGGAUGCCCGUGGCCCUACCUAGACAUGCGCAGAUCAAGGAUGCAGAGCACCCCCUCCCCACAGAUACACCUAGACACACACCACCCCAGACACAGUCAUGUGGGCAGGCCUAGACCAACAGCCACACACACUGAGACAAAGGCCCAGAUACAUACAGAGACAAAGACAGGCACAGACACACAGCCGGCAGCGCGCACACAAGCACAGGCGUGCACACCCGGACACAGACAAAGACAAAUAAAUGCCCAGAGGUUUUGCUGUGGACAGAUGUAAGGCACACACAUCUGGGCCUCCUUCUCGACCUCCCUGCCUGGGGACAUGGUAAUCUGGCGCCUGUGGCUCCAGGGAGAACUUGGAGGAAUCUUCUGCUCAGUCAGCGCCCCCCACCCUGGGCCUGGGGCCAGCCCCCACCUCUGGCACCGGGUCCGCGGCCGAGGCCAUGGCAGCCACACCCCCAGCAGAGCCCAGACAUCUCUUCCCUGGCUCUCCGUGUGGGACACACUCACGGGCACACCAUCUCCUCCUGCACAUGCUCAUGACCCCCCCCAUGCCCACACACUUAAGAGUUUCUCCCUCAGACCCACCCCCCAGGUGUCCCCUUCUGGUUGUUGUUCUCAGUCACUCCCCACCAGAGACACGCACGACCUCGAGCACAGACACACACAGCCUUGCUCGCUCUGCACCCCCGCAGCCUGCGUGGCACGCGCCCUCGCCUUCUCACACAGGCCCCACGAGCCACAGCCGUGCGCUCCUUCCACGCUUCCUCGCCAGUGCUCUCACCGCCGAGUUCACAGAUGCCGCGCACACAUACCCUCCCCCACGCACAUCCUCCCCGCUUUCUCACAUGCGUGCGCGCGCGCGCACACACACACUCUCAGAGCCUCCCUCACACCAUCACUUUCCUUCCUCUGUCUCUCACAAACACUCCCUCUGCCAAGAGUGUGGCUGUGCUGCAGCACAGCCCCGAAGUACUUGUCACUGUUCUCAUCAGGUCCUUGGCCUUCCUGGCCUCAGUCUCUUCCCUUUCACCUCCAGCCCUGCACACUGCGGCCCUGUAUUCUUUUGUCAUGUCUCUGUCUAGUCAGCAGUAAAGUACGGAGUGUUCAUUUAGUCAUUCAACAAAUGUUGAUUGAGCACUGAUGAUGGGUUAAGCAUUGGGGCUACGUCAGUGACACAGGUCCUUCCCUCAUAGAGCUCUCCAUUUUGUGACCGGUUUCUUUGUGGCUGAUCUUGUCUGACUAGAUUGUAAGGUAACCCUUGAUCUUGGAUGUUGAGAGAUGUGUAGACAGUCACAGGAGGAAAAAUAUGGGAAGGGUGUUCUCGGCCAAGGGAACAGCCCGUGCAAAGCCUAGAAGUGAAUCACAGUAUGGUAUGCCGGGAACUGAGGUGAUGUUCAGAGACUAGAGGAGAAGCUGCAAAGAGAGCAGAAAGCCAGAUGUUACAAAGUGUGGAUGCCAUGUUCAGAGGGCUGGAUUUUGUCUCAUGAGCCACAAGGAAUCAUGAAAAGUCUUUAGUGACAGGACAGGGUGGGGGCAUGAUGGUGUUCUGACCUAGAAGAGGUGAGCAGGAAGGAGAGAUCUGUUUAGGAGCAAGGACCACAGUUCCAGAGCUGUGACUUCAGCUCUGGGUGACACCUUCUAUGACCCAGGUCCAUCAUGUGAGGGCGGACAGUCCAGGAGCCAGAGCUUAUAGUACAUGCUCAAUAAAUGAGAGUCAUUACUGUCAGUUAUCGGUGCGACGAGGCGGGACAUUGGCUGAAGAGGAAGUUUACUGAGCACCUACUGAGUGUGGGGUACUGUGCGGGCUCUGCAGCUUUGAGAAGCUCACACACCAAAACCCCAGCUUGCUUGGACAACAGUGGGCCACGUGGCAGGGGUGGAGGCAAAGCACCCUGGAAACUGAAAGGAGCGUGAGGAUUCUGGGUGGCACACAGAGGAGCUGGUAUUGAGCCGGACCCUGAAGAGGCUGGUCAGACUUGGGCGGGCAGAGGUGGAGAAGGAGCCACAUGAAAAAAAAAAAAAAGGGAGUUCCCAUUUUGGCUCAGCAGAAGUGAAUCUGACUAGCAUCCAUGAAGUCGAAGGUUCGAUCCCUGGCCUCGCUCAGUGGGUUAAGGAUCCAGUGUUGCUGUGAGCUGUCAUGUAUGUAGAUUGCAGACUCGGCUCGGAUCUGGUGUGGCUGUGGCUGUGGUGUAGGCCGGCAGCUGCAGCUCCAUUCAACCCUUGGCCUUGGAACCUCCAUAUGCCGCUAAAAAAAAAAAAAGGAAGGAGCCACGUGAACAUCAGCCCAAGGGCAAGGUGUCUAACCCAGCUGCUCUGAGGGACAUAGGAAGGAGGGGCUUGGGAUGGGAUUGUGGAGGCAAGACCUCUGUGGCCAGGCUGAGGGGGGUCAGCAUGGGGCUGAGCUGCACUCUAGAAAUCCCACGUUUUGGUGGAUUAUGUUCAUUAGAAAUUGUGCUCCAGGAGUUCCCGUCGUGGCGCAGUGAUUAAUGAAUCCGACUAGGAACCAUGAGGUUGCGGGUUCGGUCCCUGCCCUUGCUCAGUGGGUUAACGAUCCGGCGUUGCCGUGAGCUGUGGUGUAGGUCGAAGAUACAGCUUGGAUCCCGCGUUGCUGUGGCUCUGGCGUAGGCUGGUGGCUACAGCUCCGAUUCGACCCCUAGCCUGGGAAGCUCCAUAUGCCGUGGGAGUGGCCCAAGAAAUGGCAAAAAGACAAAAAAAAAAAGAAAAAGAAAAA
rnacentral:lncRNA from 9 species